UCCGUAGGGUGCAAGCGUUGUCCGGAAUUAUUGGGCGUAAAGAGCUCGUAGGCGGUUUGUCGCGUCUGCUGUUAAAACCCGAGGCUCAACCUCGGGCCUGCAGUGGGUACGGGCAGACUAGAGUGCGGUAGGGGAGAUUGGAAUUCCUGGUGUAGCGGUGGAAUGCGCAGAUAUCAGGAGGAACACCAAUGGCGAAGGCAGAUCUCUGGGCCGUAACUGACGCUGAGGAGCGAAAGCAUGGGGAGCGAACAGG
rnacentral:rRNA from 1 species